rnacentral:lncRNA from 1 species
AUGGCGGUGCUUCCGGUCCCGAUGCCCUCAGCGAAGAUGGCGGCAGUGGAGAAGCGGCGGCCAGCGGUAGCACCACCGGCUGGUUUCACGGACAGCGGCCGCCAGUCGGUAUCCCGGGCGGCGGGGGCGGCCGAGAGCGAGGAGGACUUCCUGCGGCAGGUCGGCGUGACGGAGAUGCUACGGGCGGCCCUGCUGAAGGUGCUGGAGGCGCGGCCCGAGGAACCGAUCGCCUUCCUGGCCCACUACUUCGAGAACAUGGGCUUGCGCUCGCCUGUAAAUGGCGGCGCCGGGGAGCCCCCGGGCCAGCUCCUGCUGCAGCAGCAGCGCCUGGGCCGCGCACUGUGGCACCUUCGCCUGGCCCACCACUCCCAGAGAACACCCACCGUGUACCGGCCCAGCAUUACUGAGCACCUAUUGCACGCCAGCCCGGCAUUACUGAGCACCCACCGUGUACCGGCCCAGCAUUCCGGAGCACCCACCAUGCACCGGCCCAGCAUUACUGAACACCUAUGGAGUACCGGCCCUGCAUUACUGAGCACCUACCAUGUACCGGCCCUGCAUUACUGAGCACCUAUUUCAUGCCAGCCUAGCAUUACUGAGCACCUACUGUGUACUGGCCCUGCAUUCCUGAGCACCUACCGUGGAGCAGCCCUGUAUUACUGAGCACCUACCGUGUACCAGCCCAGUAUUACUGAGCACCUAUUUCACACCGGCCCUGCAUUACUAAGCACCUACUGUGUACCAGCCCUGCAUUACUGAGCACCUACUGUGUACCAGCCCUGCAUUACUGAGCACCUAUUGCACGCUGGUCCUGUAUUACUGAGCACCUACUGCACACCAGCCCAGCAUUACUGAGCACCUACUAUGUACUGGCCCUGCAUUACUGAGCACCUACUGUGUACCAGCCCUGCAUUACUGAGCACCUAUUGCACGCUGGCCCGGCAUUACUGAGCACCUACUGUGUACUGGCCCUGCAUUACUGAGCACCUACUGUGCACCAGUCCUGCAUUACUGAGCACCUAUUGCACGCCGAUCCUGUAUUACUGAACAUCUACUGCACACCAGCCCCAGAUUUACUGAGCACCUAUUGCAUGCUGGCCCUGCAUUUACUGGGCACCCACUACAUACCACCCCAGCAUUACUGAGUACCUACUGUGCACUAACCCUGCAUUACUGAGCACCUACUGCAUACCGGCCCCACAUUUACUGAGCACCUAUUGCAUGCUGGCCCAGCAUUUACUAAGCACCCACUGCACACCACCCCAGCAUUACUGAGCACCUACUGUGUACUGGCCCUGCAUUCACUGAGCACCUACUGUACACCAGCCCUGUAUUACUGAGCACCCACUGCACACCAACCCCACGUUUACUGAGCACCUAUUGCAUGCUGGCCCAGCAUCACUGAGCACCUAUUGUGCACCAGCCCUGCAUUACUGAGCACCUACUGCACACCAACCCUGCAUUUACUGAGCACCUACUGCAUGCUGGCUCACAUGCAUCUACCACAGGUGGCCCACAGAAAGGUGAAACCAUGUGCCCAGGUCACGCCAGAGGGAGGCUGGAGCCUCGAUGUAAACCUGCCCUUCUCACCAUGAAGCUGAGCUCCCAGAAGGAACAAGCAUAAGUCCUGAGGUUGGCCACUUCCUCUCUGGGACCCUUGGCCAGACCAUGGGGCUGCCCUGAGCCUCAGUUUCCCUAUAUGUCCCAGAGGAAGUAACAGGCCACUAGCAUAAGGCCUGCCUGGGACUGAUGGGGGAGUGAGGCCCAGGGGUUCGCAGCCCACCCAGGGUCCUGCAGUGGCCCCUACGCUGGCCACGGUGCUCCCUGGCCACUCCCUGGUGCCCUCCACAGGAGCGUCCGAGUCACACUAGCGGCACACAAGUGGCCUGCAGUAAGUCCUCGGGUUCCUCCCUGAGGCAAGGAAUCGAACCCACCCCAGAGGCGGCAGCAGGGCUGACAGCCUUCUUCCAUAAGGGGUCAGAGAGUGAACAUUUCAGCUUUGCGUGGUGGCCUCCAUCCUGACAUUCAGCUCUGUGGUUCCGGUCUGAAGCUGCCACAGGCCACACGUCCGUGGACUGACGUGGUUACGUUUCGAUAAAGGUUUAUUAUUUAUGUUUGUUUGUUUGUUUGUUUUGAGAUGGAGUUUCGCUCUUUUUGCACAGGCUGGAGUGCAAUGGUGCGAUCUCGGCUCACUGCAACCUCCGCCUCCCAGGUUCAAGCAAUUCUCCUGCCUCAGCCUCGCGAGUAGCUGGGAUUACAGGCAUGUGCCACCACGCCUGGCUAAUUUUGUAUUUUUAGUAGAGACAGGAUUUCUCCAUGUUGGUCAGGCUGGUCUUGAACUCCCGACCUCAGGUGAUCCACCCGCCUCAGCCUCCCAAAGUGCUGGGAUUACAGGCGUGAGCCACCACGCCCGGCCCGAUAAAGGUUUAUUUACAAAAGCAGGCAGCGGGUCGGAUUUGACCCUCAGGCUGACUGUGGGGCCUUGCCUGUGAGAUUGUGGGGAGCGAGAUAUCUACCCGUUGACUCUGUGUAGCAGCUCUCACCUGUAAUCCCAGCAGUUUGGGAGGCUGAGGCAGGAGGAUCGCUUGAGCCCAGGAGGUGGAGGCUGCUGUGAACCCUGAUUGCACCACUGCACUCCAGCCUGGACAACACAGUGAGACCCUGUCUCAAAAAAAAAAAUGGAAAAAUGAAAUGUCAGCUGUGUUAAAUGUUCAGCACAGGCUGGGCGCAGUGGCUCACGCCUGGAAUCCCAGCACCUUGGGAGGCUGAGGCGGGCGGAUCACAAGGUCAAGAGAUCCGGACCAUCCCGGCCAACAUGGUGAAACCCCAUCUCUACUAAAAGUACAAAAAUUAGCCGGGCGUGGUGGCGGGCGCCUGUAAUCCCAGCUACUCGGGAGGCUGAGGCAGGAGAAUCGCUUGAACCCGGAAGGUGGAGGUUGCAGUGAGCUGAGAUCGUGCCAUUGCACUCCAGCCUGAUGACAGAGUGAGACUCCGCCUCAAAAAAAAAAAAAAAAAAGGAAAGAAGAAAAAUGCCAGCUGUGUUAAAUGUUGAGCACAGUAUUUGGUCAAGUGUAAGCAGGCGCUGCUGCUGCAGGGAGGGAGACCAGAGGGUCCUGGUGUUGCUGGACGAGGACUGGAGAGACCGAAGAAGGUUCGGGAGAGUUUACCAAGCUGAUCACCGGCUCAGCCGGACAGACGUCCAGAAAGUCUGAGCCCCGAACAAAGGGGCUUUUCCUACUUUUAAACCAGCUUAAGGCAGGAACUACGUGAGGUGGGAAGCAAGUUACAGAAGCGAGAAACAAAGGCAGGUAAUCAAGUACUACAGCAUUUCUUUUUUUUUUUUUUUGCGAUGGAGUCUCGCUCUGUCACCAGGCUACAGUGCAGGGGCACGAUCCUGGCUCACUGCAGCCUCUGCCUCCCGGGUUCAAGCGAUUCUCCUGCCUCAGGCUCCCGAGUGGCUGGGACUACAGACAAGCACCACCACGCCCAGCUAAUUUUAUAUUUUAGUAGAGACGGGGUUUCACCAUGUUGGCCAGGAUGGUCUCAAUCACUUGACCUCGUGAUCCGCCCACCUCGGCCUCCCAAAGUGCUGGAUUACAGGUGUGAGCCAUCACGCCUGGCUAACAUUUCUUACAUCUUGAGAAAACAUGUCUUACAACCUAAACUUAUCGGUCUUGUGACCCUGCAGCCGUGCUAGGGAGGUAAGCAGGAACUCACUGGGCCUGUAAUAAACUUUGAGGAAUGUGGAGUUGGAGAGUAUAGAUAAGGUCCACUGACUACAGAGAGAAAACAGGCUGUUAAUAUUCUAUUUUAACUUGAGUGUAAGGGGUGGUCACACUUUGCAGCUACUUUAAGAGGAUUUUAAAA